rnacentral:rRNA from 1 species
UCCUGGCUCAGAUUGAACGCUGGCGGCAUGCUUUACACAUGCAAGUCGAACGGCAGCGCGGGGCAACCUGGCGGCGAGUGGCGAACGGGUGAGUAAUAUAUCGGAACGUACCCAAGAGUGGGGGAUAACGUAGCGAAAGUUACGCUAAUACCGCAUACGAUCUAAGGAUGAAAGUGGGGGAUUCGCAAGAACCUCAUGCUCCUGGAGCGGCCGAUAUCUGAUUAGCUAGUUGGUGAGGUAAAGGCUCACCAAGGCUACGAUCAGUAGCUGGUCUGAGAGGACGACCAGCCACACUGGAACUGAGACAUGGUCCAGACUCCUACGGGAGGCAGCAGUGGGGAAUUUUGGACAAUGGGCGCAAGCCUGAUCCAGCAAUGCCGCGUGAGUGAAGAAGGCCUUCGGGUUGUAAAGCUCUUUUGUCAGGGAAGAAACGGUGGGGGCUAAUAUCCUCCACUAAUGACGGUACCUGAAGAAUAAGCACCGGCUAACUACGUG